CUUGAGAGCGGCGCACGGGUGCGGAACACGUGUGCAACCUGCCUUUAUCUGGGGGAUAGCCUUUCGAAAGGAAGAUUAAUACCCCAUAAUAUAUUGAGUGGCAUCACUUGAUAUUGAAAACUCCGGUGGAUAGAGAUGGGCACGCGCAAGAUUAGAUAGUUGGUGAGGUAACGGCUCACCAAGUCAAUGAUCUUUAGGGGGCCUGAGAGGGUGAUCCCCCACACUGGUACUGAGACACGGACCAGACUCCUACGGGAGGCAGCAGUGAGGAAUAUUGGACAAUGGGUGAGAGCCUGAUCCAGCCAUCCCGCGUGAAGGACGACUGCCCUAUGGGUUGUAAACUUCUUUUAUACUGGGAUAAACCUACCCUCGUGAGGGUAGCUGAAGGUACAGUAUGAAUAAGCACCGGCUAACUCCGUGCCAGCAGCCGCGGUAAUACGGAGGGUGCAAGCGUUAUCCGGAUUUAUUGGGUUUAAAGGGUCCGUAGGCGGACUCGUAAGUCAGUGGUGAAAUCUCAUAGCUUAACUAUGAAACUGCCAUUGAUACUGCGGGUCUUGAGUAAAGUAGAAGUGGCUGGAAUAAGUAGUGUAGCGGUGAAAUGCAUAGAUAUUACUUAGAACACCAAUUGCGAAGGCAGGUCACUAUGUUUUAACUGACGCUGAUGGACGAAAGCGUGGGGAGCGAACAGGAUUAGAUACCCUGGUAGUCCACGCCGUAAACGAUGCUAACUCGUUUUUGGGUUUUCGGAUUCAGAGACUAAGCGAAAGUGAUAAGUUAGCCACCUGGGGAGUACGUUCGCAAGAAUGAAACUCAAAGGAAUUGACGGGGGCCCGCACAAGCGGUGGAUUAUGUGGUUUAAUUCGAUGAUACGCGAGGAACCUUACCAAGGCUUAAAUGGGAAUUGACAGGUUUAGAAAUAGAUCCUUCUUCGGACAAUUUUCAAGGUGCUGCAUGGUUGUCGUCAGCUCGUGCCGUGAGGUGUUAGGUUAAGUCCUGCAACGAGCGCAACCCCUGUCACUAGUUGCCAUCAUUCAGUUGGGGACUCUAGUGAGACUGCCUACGCAAGUAGAGAGGAAGGUGGGGAUGACGUCAAAUCAUCACGGCCCUUACGCCUUGGGCCACACACGUAAUACAAUGGCCGGUACAGAGGGCAGCUACUAUGCGAAUAGAUGCGAAUCUCGAAAGCCGGUCUCAGUUCGGAUUGGAGUCUGCAACUC
rnacentral:rRNA from 1 species